rnacentral:rRNA from 1 species
GUGUCAGCCGCCGCGGUAAUACGGAGGGUGCGAGCGUUAAUCGGAAUUACUGGGCGUAAAGGGCGCGUAGGCGGUCGCGCAAGUCGGGUGUGAAAGCCCCGGGCCGUCAACCUGGGAAGUUGCAUUCGAUACUGCGUAACUAGAGUCUGGUAGAGGGAAGCGGAAUUCCGCAUGUAGCGGUGAAAUGCGUAGAUAUGCGGAGGAACACCAGUGGCGAAGGCUCUCCACGAGGACGGGCCCGACGGUGAGGGACGAAAGCCAGGGGCGCGAACGGGAUUAGAUACCCCGGUAGUCCUGGCCGUAAACGCUGCAGGCUUGGUGUUGCACGCUCUACGGGGGCGUGCAGUGCCGAAGCGAAGGCGAUAAGCCUGCCGCCUGGGAAGUACGCUCGCAAGAGUGAAACUCAAAUGAAUUGGCGG